AUAUCAAUAAGCGGAGGAAAAGAAACCAACAGGGAUUGCCUCAGUAACGGCGAGUGAAGCGGCAACAGCUCAAAUUUGAAAUCUGGCCCCUUCGGGGUCCGAGUUGUAAUUUGCAGAGGGUGCUUCGGUGGAAGUCCCGGCCCAAGUCCCUUGGAACAGGACGUCAGAGAGGGUGAGAACCCCGUGUCCGGCCGGCGACGCUCCCCGCGUGAAGCCCCUUCGACGAGUCGAGUUGUUUGGGAAUGCAGCUCUAAAUUGGUGGUAAAUUCCAUCUAAAGCUAAAUACCGGCCAGAGACCGAUAGCGCACAAGUAGAGUGAUCGAAAGAUGAAAAGCACUUUGAAAAGAGAGUCAAAAAGUAC
rnacentral:rRNA from 1 species